rnacentral:rRNA from 1 species
UACGGGGGGGAGCAAGCGUUGUUCGGAUUUACUGGGCGUAAAGGGCGCGUAGGCGGUCGUGACAAGUCACUUGUGAAAUCUCCGGGCUUAACUCGGAACGGUCAAGUGAUACUGUCGGACUAGAGUACAGAAGGGGCGAACAUUGGGAAAUUCUCGGUGUAGCGGUGAAAUGCGUAGAUAUCGAGAGGAACACCUGCGGCGAAGGCGGGUUGCUGGGCUGAUACUGACGCUGAGGCGCGAAAGCCAGGGGAGCGAACGGG